rnacentral:rRNA from 1 species
GAUGAACGCUGGCGGCGUGCCUAAUACAUGCAAGUCGAGCGAAUGGAUUAAGAGCUUGCUCUUAUGAAGUUAGCGGCGGACAGGUGAGUAACACGUGGGUAACCUGCCCAUAAGACUGGGAUAACUCCGGGAAACCGGGGCUAAUACCGGAUAACAUUUUGAACCGCAUGGUUCGAAAUUGAAAGGCGGCUUCGGCUGUCACUUAUGGAUGGACCCGCGUCGCAUUAGCUAGUUGGUGAGGUAACGGCUCACCAAGGCAACGAUGCGUAGCCGACCGGAGAGGGUGAUCGGCAACACUGGGAAUGAGACACGGCCCAGACGCCGACGGGAGGCAGCAGUAGGGAAUCUUCCGCAAUGGACGAAAGUCUGACGGAGCAACGCCGCGUGAGUGAUGAAGGCUUUCGGGUCGUAAAACUCUGUUGUUAGGGAAGAACAAGUGCUAGUUGAAUAAGCUGGCACCUUGACGGUACCUAACCAGAAAGCCACGGCUAACUACGUGCCAGCCGCCGCCGUAA